GCUCUUAUUUCAGUUAUUUCAAAACAGAAAUCACAGAUAUAAACUGAGUCAGUUAGGAGGAAACUGCAAGUCUUGACUCUAAUUCUCUUGAGGAUGUUGCUUCUGGUCCUCAUGAUAUUUUCUAUUUUUAAUGAGAAUGCUGAUGCAGAUGUGAUAACCUCAUUAUCCACAGAGCAGCAUGUUUUAGCAAAAGAUAAUGUAACACUGUCCUGCAGCUACAGUGGCACUGUCCGCAGUUUGCAGUGGUACCGUCAGUAUCCCGGAUCCAAACCGGAGUUUCUGGUUUCGCACAUUGAGACCAUGUCAGAGUCCAAGCUUCGUCUGUAUGCUGUGGCCGAUAAAGGAAUCAAGCGGAUGAAUCUGAAGAUAUCUUUUACACAUGUGGAUGAUUCUGCUUUGUACUACUGUGCCCUGGAGCCCACAGUGACAGGAAACACUGUCUGUGCUGUACAAGAACCUGAUGUGUCAGCGACAAACAUUAAUAUGCUGUUCUUAUCAAGAGGUCGUCUCAUAAUGAUGAUUGAUAUGUCAGAUCAUUAGGACAUUGCAUAAUUACUCAUUUUAAAUGGUUUUAAAAUCCAAAACAUGUUUUGCCCAAACAUAUUUUUGAAAAAAAAAAUCAAGAAUUUAAGAAACUCUUAGAAUUGUAAAACAUUCAGUUUAAAAGGAAAUAUACACUGUAUAUUUUUACAUAUAGUUCUUAAUGGUUAAUUAAAGAAAAAUAUUUAAUUUCUGUGAAAUCAUGAUUUUGUAACACUGAACACUGAACUAACUUCAGCAGAACAAUGACACUAUUUGCUUUUUAGAGCUGCAGUUGAAUUGAACUCAUUGAGUUUGCAUCAUUGAAUCAUUAUUUUCCCGUUGAUCACUGUAAUCUGUAUUGUAUAAAAUGCUAUAAAAAUA